rnacentral:rRNA from 1 species
CCUACGGGUGGCAGCAGUGGGGAAUAUUGGACAAUGGGCGGAAGCCUGAUCCAGCCAUGCCGCGUGUGUGAAGAAGGCCUUCGGGUUGUAAAGCACUUUCAGUGGGGAAGAAAGCCUUGGGGCUAAUACCCUCGAGGAAGGACAUCACCCACAGAAGAAGCACCGGCUAACUCCGUGCCAGCAGCCGCGGUAAUACGGAGGGUGCGAGCGUUAAUCGGAAUUACUGGGCGGAAAGCGCGCGUAGGCGGUCUGAUAAGCCGGUUGUGAAAGCCCCGGGCUCAACCUGGGAACGGCAUCCGGAACUGUCAGGCUAGAGGGCAGGAGAGGAAGGUAGAAUUCCCGGUGUAGCGGUGAAAUGCGUAGAGAUCGGGAGGAAUACCAGUGGCGAAGGCGGCCUUCUGGACUGACACUGACGCUGAGGUGCGAAAGCGUGGGUAGCAAACAGGAUUAGAUACCCCAGUAGUC